rnacentral:lncRNA from 1 species
UCUUGUGGUACUAAUUAGGUUUUAUUUUGGUCUCAACAUGUUUCUUUCAUAUUAGUUGGUAUUAUUGUCAUUACAUCAAUAAGAGGUCUACUAAUCACUCUCACUAAAUUUUUCUAUGCCAUUGCAAGCAGCAAGUCUUCAAAUGCUAUUGUCUUAUGUCUAGCAGAAGUUAUGGGUAUGUAUUUCGUGUCGUCAGUCCUUCUAAUGAGAAUGAAUGUUCCAGAAGAGUAUAGGACUAUCAUCAUGAGAGUCUUAGGGCAGCUUGACUUCAGUUUUUAUCAUCGUUGGUUUGAUGUUAUAUUUUUAGUGAGUUCAACAAUUUAAUGCUGUUUUUUAUAUUGCUCAUCAGCAGUCAUCAAGUAAAAGAACAGGAUAACGCAUG